rnacentral:lncRNA from 1 species
GGAGCUGGGAGGUCGCGAGUUGGCUAUUCGUUUCGAGGAGGGCUAUGAAGCAAUGUAACCAAGACUGUCGGCGACAGCUUCAUAGAGAAGAGACUCACGAGAUUUGUCAUGGCACUGCGAACCAAGACUUUGGAGAUCCGAAGAAUGCGGUAGCCCCGUUUGCUCGCAAAAGCCGCUUCGGAUCCCUGAGGCUGUCAAGAGUUUGAGUUACGCACGAAAGAUGAGAUAAUCCCAUGUUUUAGGUUCAAUGAAAGCAGAAGCAGAAGCAACGGGCUAUCCACGAAAUGAGAAUGCACAAAUAUGGGCUUCUUGAGGGUGAAGUUUGGAGGGCGUGAAGAAUGUAACAGUACUGCAACCACGUAGGAUCCGCCAUGUACUUCUUUCCGACGGGUCCCUCAAAGAAUAACUCACGUGAGUCACUUGAGCUUGCUUCCAUAUUUCUCUGCUCCUCACGGUAACUCAACCUCUAGGAAACGGACAACAUGAUGUAAAGGGAGGGUAACGUCCCAAACCCUAGGGCAAGCAAUAUAGGUGAGUAUGUCAAAGUGAUAAAAUAAACGAUUCGGCUCACCGUUAUGCUACAAACCUCCCCAUAUCCCACAUUGUUUGUAUACAAGCGGAUGUAUCUCCCAUAGCUAUAGUCGCAACGGAUGUAUUGUCGAUCCACCGUGACGAGGAUUGUCGACGUUUGGAGGAGUUUUGGGGGACGACCUAGGGUUAGAGCCUACAAAAUUGUAGGGUUGUGUUCACCUGCGUGUGUAUUUUCGAUCGUAGAGUAACGGAUCAGAGAAAGCGGUCAGAAACUCAAUGGAUAUGGGCAGGGAGUAUAGGUGAGGGUGCCAGCCGCGGCCAACCUGCAACUUGCCACCUGGCCAGUGUUAUCUAAUCUAAUCUAUGUUCCACUAUAUGGUUCGGCGUCGUUCACUGCCAUCAGUACGGUACUUGUUACGUUGGUGGGCCCCGGGGAAGAAAACAAACAUUAUCAUCUACUUAAUUCCAGGAGUGCUAGGAUUGGAAUGGUCGAGCCCCGAGGCUUUGUGAGCAACCCACUCCUCGCAUAUGCGUCUGCACAGGAUGUCCAACUUCAAUCCGACUCACCCCCUUAAUGCACACAAUGAUACACACAAGUCGUGCACUCGGAAGGUACCAAUUCUCGUAUACUCCUUUCCAUUUUGGACCAUCCCCAAUGUCGAUCUGGCCAGACGAACUCCAGCGCUCGUAACUAGUACUCAGUACUCAUCCCUGGAUCAUCGACACCUCGUCCUCCCCGCACUUCCGGAACAGCUCCCCCCAGCUCCCCCGUCAUCUCCCUCCACACCGGCCCCCGCAAAAAGUCGCGCACGCGCGCGUCAUGCGGGUCCACGACCUGGUCCUUGUCCCCCAUCUUCGCGAACAGGAACAGGCCCCGCAGCCCGACCCGGUGCAGCGCCAGCGGGCACGCGUCGUGCUUCGCCAGCUCCCCGAACCGGAUGUUCGCGUUCAGCACCUCGUCCAUGUCCAUAUCCACGCCCACGCCCGCACCCACGCCCACGCCCACGCCCACGUCUGCCGCUCGGCAUCGGCACCUGUAUGAUUCCUGCGCUCCGGAGUCUGCUCGGGAUGACGGCCGGGUAACCCCCACUGGUCGAGCUCCGGCUCGCGCAGCCACCUGCGAAUGAGGCGGAGCGCGGCGGCGACGGCGGCGACGGCCGCCACGUCGUUCGGGGCCGUCGCGGCCGCGAGGAUGCCCCCGUCGGCGAGGAGCUCGCGCGCGCCCUCGAUGGGGGCCCGCGCCGGACCUGCGUCCGGACGGACUCGAGGAAGUCGACGCCGGCGCGCAGGAGGUAGCCUUGAGUAAGUGGAAGCUAGAGUAUAGCGGUAAGUAGCCCCACGAGUUGUUCGCCGGCUCGUCGUCGCCGGAGGUGUCAAAUUUGAGCGAGGCCUCGAUUUCUAAGUUCUUCGCGCCUGUUAGCGCGGCGGACGUGGAUGAGCCACAUGGGCGGCGGUCCUGUGUGGCACGUCGUUUGAGGACUUCAGCGCGCAAGGCGAAGGGAACACUGACCUCGCAUGCGCAGGUUGCAAGUGUGGGUUUCGAGGGGAAAUCCUGGCUGGACUGGACGUCAAUGCGUGCGCCGGGUGGGGACGAGACCAACCCUACCUCGUGUAGGUCGUGCGAGCUAAAAUCUAUUCGCGAUUGAGGAUGUACCGACGAAGGCCAGUGAUGGUGAUGGUGGAAGCAGAGAGCGAGGAGGCAAUAGGAGACAGGAGGAAGGCCGAAGGGGUGUAACAUAUGCGCGUCGCAGAGGCACGUCCACCUAUCCGUCGACACGUCCACCGGUGAGGUCGAAGGCUGAAUAUUAAUAUUUAUCAUCCCAAAGUGCGAAUCGUAGUCCGAAGCUUGAUCGAGAAAGAAACCCAAAAUAUAUUCCUAGGACCGAAGACAUGCGAAAAAAAAAACCCUCCCCCACAACACCAUCGAGUCCGGAGAGGCUUCUCAACAUCAGUUAUAUAGCAAAGAGAACCACACCCUCGCCACGAAGCGGUGGUAAUGCAAGACAUGGAUGCUCUCAAAACAGAAUCCAAAGACGGCUCACCCUAUAUCCAGCAACCUUCUGAGAGUGACGCACGACGGCCCCUUCCUUCGUGAUCGUAUGUACAUUCUCGGCACACUGUUACCAGCAAUCAGCCCACGGCGCUCUCGUCAACGACAGACAGGUGACGACAGACGGACAUUGUAUGAUCUCUCCAUAUUCAACAAACGCUUUCGAUGUGUGUGUGGAGAGGCACAGGGCCAUCUUUACGAUUGCCAGUGAGCGGACACCUGCAACAAGACAAAAAUAUCAUAUGCUCCAUACACACAAACCUUUUCUUACAUACGCGGCGUCCUGCGACGCUGCAAGUGCUAGCCGCCGUGGAGAUGUGGAGACAUAGUAGGCGAGGGGAACAGAACAAAGAAAAGAAACGACCGACCGGACGUAGUACCGUAGUAGAGGGGCUAUAGGUAAAGCGACGUAACGAACAAGAGUGGAGAGUACCGCACCGCAUGCAUGACCGCCCGCCUAAAACCUCCCUUCAACCCUGGACCUCGACGCCGACUCGGACGGCCGCCGAGCGCACAUGCACGAGGCAGCAAUGAGUCAAAAUGAUGCUGGUGAAGAAGGAAGGGGUGGAGGGGACGGACUGGUGAGCACAUCCCGUCUGCAUCUCGAGCGUCCCCGGUGAGGUAGCCUCCAAUGUUGCGUGCGUCGCCUACAAGAAGUCCUCGGCCCUUGCUCGUUUCUUGCCGCGCAUCUCCUCGGGAGGUACAUUGGGCACGGGGCCGUCAGCGGAUACAGGGAAGAAGUACUUAGGGUUUCUUGACCGCGUCUCUUCCUGUGGGAUGGUUAGACAACGAGACAAAGGACAACGGUAGACGGCAACUUGCCGGUGAGAAGUUCGCAUCAGGCCACUUAAGAACCGUAGCCUUCUUGAACGUCGGAUUGACCUGCGCCAGGGACGGGUUCGGUAGUACGAGAGGGGUAGGUGGAACCGUGGACGCCGGCCGCUGCUGUUGUUGCUCUGGUUGCUGUUGUGGUGGUUGCUGGUCGUAUGUCGGAGGCGGGAUUGUUUGGGGAGGAGGCGCAACAGCGGGUACGAAGGUAGGAGCACCAAGGGGAGGAGCGCCGGGCACUCCGGGAGGAGGUGAGAGUGGUGACGCACCGGGAAUAGGAGGAAGGUUGACGCCGGGAGGCAACAUUCCCGGAGGUGGAGAGAAUGCUGGAGGCGGUACACCCGGUGGGCCCAUACCUGGAGGGAGGAACGGAGGAGGGAAAGGUGGUCUCACACCUGGAGGGAACGGUGGCACACCCGGUGGCAUCAUGCCAGGGGGUGGAGAGCCAGCGAAAGGCGGAGGCAUACCCGGGAAGCCGGGCGGCAGAGGCAUGCUGUUGACACCAAAAUGAGAAAGAUUCUAACACGAAUAGAAAUACGACUCACCCAGGCGGCAUAGGCAUGCCGGGAAGGGGGAAGGGCUGACCUGGGAAACCUGGAGGGGGAACUCCGGGCAUGAAAAGGGGCGCACCUGGAGGCAUAACUGGAGGAACACCUGGCGGAGACAUGACGGGCGUCGGGAUUGCAGGAGUAGGAGGAGCGGCAUAUGUUUGUGAAGGAGCUGCAUAGACUGCGCCCGAUGCGGCAUCUGGCACGGGGGGCGCAUUUGAUGCUUCUGAAGCGCCCAUGAGAGCCUUGUGAGCCUCAAGCUGGGCCUUAAGCUCGUCCUCGGAGAGGGGACGGUUCUCGAUCUUCGGCCGUUUGGACGGGGGCUGGGUGAUCGACCCAGGGUUCAAACCGAGCUCGAUCUCUUUACGUCGCUUGUAGUCUGCCACGUCAGGGGCUGGAAUACCCUCCAUACCGAAGAUCUCCACUUCGUAGCCAUCACGACCGGGGAGGGCGUUUUCAAUCCGGGGGAGACUGGGAGAAAAUAUAAGGGAGAGCGAGAAAGAAGGACCUUAAUAAUGACUCACUUGUCGGGCUCGAGCUUAUGAACUUGUUGGAUAUGGACGGCCAGACCACCGGCUGUGUUCAAGCGACGAGGGCAGAGGUUGCACUUGAAGUGCUUGGCUUUCUGGUGCUGCAUUAGCACUAGAACGUGUAUCAGUAACUAUAUGCGCACAACAGACCGAGGACUAGUCACCUUUCUCAUCCUCAAACUCCCUCUCACAAUACCAGCACCAGGGACGGAGAACCUUGGACAACUUUAGCAUCCGCACGUUCAUUCAAUAAAAUCACGUACCUGCUUGUUCUUUUUCUUAGCCAUGAUUGAGGGAAAUGAGGGCAGGGAAGGAUACGACGGGUGGACUUCGGGGAGGAGGCGACGGGCGGUGCUGAGAAGCGUCGGUCAAAGGAAAGUUUGCCAGUCAGCACAUAUUGGAACGGCGAUUCGGGCUUUUAAAAUAAUGAAGGCUCAAAGCCGGAGAUGUCUUUCGGAGAUUGAAUAAGAGACGUGAGUUUCCGAACUAACUAUAUCAGUCGAUGCGCAGCGAUGAGGCGCCUGAGCUGCGCUCGCAGCCCCUUUGGUCGACAGUGGUGCGACGCCGACGCCAGCGUCCUGGAGGCCAACGACGUCUACCUAGCUCGACUAUGAUAGCAAUAUUCGCCGUGACUCCAUAAAAUCAGAAUCCUGCGCCGUCGACGGACAACCCGCUGUGUUCUCUCCUCGACAAUGAUUGGACGUUCUUUCCGCGAAUACGUCUUCAUCCGCCUUUCCAUCCUCGGCCUCCGACUCAUCGCGCCGCUCAGCAUAACCUACUUGGCCGUGAGCUGGUACCAUGGACGUGCGCUGCUUUCACCGUGGCUGGCCUCCUAUGCGGCCGUGGAAGCUUUCUUCUACCUCUUGGUGGUGAUACCCCGAAGGCGAGUUCUACAGAAGGUGAGAUUUACCCCAAGUCCUCGUCGAUACAUAGCCUCGCAAGAAGGCCGGCAUCCCCUCGUACCUCGCUGUCCCGGGUUACGCGCCCCCUAAGAUUGGUUCUUAGUCUGGCAAAGUGUCAAUUCUGGUAUGGCUUGGGGUGAGGUAUACACCUUUACGGCCGGGUCACAAUGUCGUGGAACACAAAUUGCGGCUCGAGCUGACACCGUUGGAUCUAGCCAGCAACGCACCCACCACUACCCUCUCGCGAGGAACGCGAAGAGCUCUUCGCAAAAUGCUUCGCCAGGGUCAGCGAAGCCAGGAUGGCCACCGGCUGGUUCUUCUCCGUAGACUCAGCACUCAUCAAGCGCGAAAACAUGAUAGAGUGGCUGCUGUGGGCCAUUUUUGGCACGCAUAGGGAAGAUAUACGAGACGAGUGGGCCGACGAAAUCGAAGGAUACCUGCGUGAUAUCGAGGGGCUAUUCGGGCACAAGAUAAAUCACGGCCGAGCCCAUACCGUGGACUCCAUGAAGGUCUCGCUCGACCCUGUCGAAACGGUUCACAGACCUCUGCUUUGGUACCUCGUGGGUCACUUAUGCACGAACACAGGGAAAGUGUACUAACAUGCCGUAGAUCGUUGCAUUCGUCGACACCUACACGUUCAUCCAAUUGCGCCUCAGUGGUUUCGAACACUAUACCGACGGCUCAUGGACGGAAUGUUUUCCUCCUCGCCCCCUAACGGCUUUGUCCCACAAAUCAAGGCAGGAAGGCUUGAUCUACUGGCUCCGCCCUCAUCGUUCUUCCACAAAGGACCCAAUCCUCUUCCUGCAUGGCAUCGGGGUACGUCUCCAUCCCUUUCUUCCAAUCCCCGUUCACGAACGGCACAUCAGAUCGGAUUAUGGCCCUAUACCCCCUUCCUGCACGAGCUCGCCGCCGGCGACCCCUCCGUGGGCAUAAUCGCAAUCGAGACCCUCGCAAUCAGCAUGCGCAUGUCCCCCCCGCCCCUCCCGCGCCCCGCCAUGCUCUCCGCGCUCUCCGCGCUCCUCACCGCGCACGCCCUCCCGCGCGUCGUCGUCGCCGCACACUCCUACGGCACGAUCGUCGCCGCGCACAUGCUGCGCUCGCCCCUCCUGCGCCCGCGCGUCGCCGCGGUCGUGCUCGUCGACCCGAUCCCGUUCCUGCUGCACCAGCCCGCCGUCGCGUACAACUUUGUGUACCGCGCGCCGCGCGCCGCGAACGAGUGGCAGCUGUGGUACUUUGCGAGCCGCGACCCCGACAUCGCGCGCACGCUCGCGCGCCACUUCUUCUGGGCGGAGAACAUCCUCUGGCGCGAGGACCUCGCCGGCGCGCGCGCCGCCGUCGUCCUCAGCGGCCGCGACCAGAUCGUCGACGCGCGCGAGGUGCGGCGGUACCUUACGGGCGAGGCGUGUGCGGACGGGGAGGAGCCGCGCUUCCUUUGGCAGGCGGGGGAGGGCGAGGGCGAGGGCGAGGGCGAGGGCGAGGGCGAGGGCGAGGGCGACCUGAGGGUCCUGUGGUACCGCGAUCUGGACCAUGCGCAGGUGUUUGAUACGAGGGCGCGCCGGCGGCCCAUCUUGGACGUCCUCCACGAGUUCGCGGGGCGGGAGGUGGGAGCUGCGUUCUGAAACUUAGCGCGAUCUGAGCGUCCCCGCUCGAGCUCGAGACCGGAGUGGGUGUUUGGUGAUGGCUGAAAUUAUACCAGGCUGAGUACGGUCUACCUACAUUUGAUAAAGUACAAAAACAUCAAAACAUACUACUUAUACCCGACUUGAUAUCAUCUCGCUAUGACGAGUGGUGGUGUGAUCGGGGGUGAUGCGCGCGAGAGCGGAGGAGGAGCAGAAAACAACAACAGCCAGUGUCCCUAUGUCAAUGUCAGAACCGAGAUCAUCUCCCCCCACGACGCCCAUCAUCAGGGCUGCUUCUCCAGGCCUCGGAGUCAGACCAUCGGACCGCAGGACUCAGACUCAGGACUCAGGUUCAGGACUCAGUACGCGACCGUGAUACCCGAGCCCUCCCACUUCUCCCAGUUCGGCAGCACGUCGCAGACGAUGUAGUGCGCGAUGUCCUUGCGCGACACGCGGUACCCGUCUCCAAAGUCCCCAUCCUUGAUCGUCCGGUACGGCGCCUUCCCCUUCUUCGCGCCCGCGUCGCCCUUGCACUCCCCGUCCGUGAGCAGCGCGGGGCGGAUGAUGACGAGGUGCUUGACCUCGCCCGCGGGGAGCCCGGGCGUGUCCUCCCACCCCGCGGGGAGGACCGCGGGCUUGACGGCGUCGGUGCCGGGCCACGCGCGCCCGGUGACGUGCGCGAGCACGCGCUCCGCGCCGAGCUUGUCGUCGUGCGGGCCGGCGAGCACCGCGCUGUAGAACGGCUUGAGCGCGAGCGGGAGCGCCUUGUGCGAGGCGGCGGUGAUGCCCAUCGACGUGAGCACGACAAAGUGCGGCUGCGCGCCUGGGGCGCGGAGCGCGUCGGGCAUCGUGCUGAAGGUGUUGAUGAGCGAGCGCGUGACGAGGUCGGCGGGGUUGAAGACCAGGCCGCAGGUGAUGGAGAACGUGGGCCGGCCGCCUGUGUGCAGCGCGGUCGGUCAGAAUGGAGAUGGUUUGGAGAGGGAUACUUGUGGGAAGGACGUGAGACGUACCGAGAGUGAAGACGACGGCGUCGAUCUUGCCGUUUCCGAUUUCGAGGGCCUUGGCCCAGGCGUUGCGGACGGACUCGGCGUCGAGGCCAUCGCCGCGGACGAGGUUGGCCUUGCCCUCUUUGAUGAAGGGCGCCAUGUCCGCAUCGUUGUCGAACGCGCUGGUUGAGCGCAGGAGGUAGGUGACAGUCGCCCCUUGCUCUGUACGAUUAUCAAUGUCAAUAAAGACGCGACAUUUUCAACAGGCCAGAAGAAACGUACUCAGGAGGCGGAGGCCGGCGAAGUAGCCGAUGUUCUUGGACGCGCCAAUAGCAAAGACGUUCAUGUUGCGGGCAGGUGGGGAGUUAUGUGAUGAGAAGAGGAGUGUUGAAAGAGGAGUUGGAUGCUGAACGCCAUCGACUUUGACGGCGAGCCUUUAUACAGGCACGGAAAGAAGCCACUCGUAUCCGGCCCACGAACGUUGAGCGAGUGCAGCACCGCUCCGCAGUAGCCACGUCGCGGCGCCCAAGGGACGUGUCAAGAGGACCAGAUGUUUGCUACAACGCUAGACUCGAAGCAGUCGAGCGGGACGUAUCAGAGACACAAGCGUAUCAACGGAGAUCGGCCGGGGAGAGGCUGUGCCUCACAUCGUCGUACGGAAAUCAAUUAGCGGCCGGAUAGUGAGCUGCAUGCGUCAGCGUUUUUGGAGCGGAUGGAGACAGUCGGCAUCACUUCCUCCUGGCCGGUCCGCGAAAAAGAGGCCUGUGACAAGCAUGUCCGCGGCACAAUGCUCCAUCAACGCGUUUCGCCUGCAGCGAAUCAAUGCCAGGCGGGCCAUCCUAUCCUGGGAUGGAGUGCCAGUGAAUGCCUUCAUUCGACCAGCUGUGUUUCAGAAUCUUUCUCCGUGGUCGGAAACAUACACCCUCGCAUACACAGGAGUACGUCAUCCGAACGUAGCGCGACAAUGGGACGGGGCUGUGCCCUGACGGCAAUCCACCUGACGCAUCUUCAAAUUGUCUUCGAAUGAUGGAGCAAGGGAGUCGCGGAUUGCAUCCUGUACCCGGGAGUGCCUGGGCACGCGCCGAAAGUCUCCGAGCUACAAAGUUCGUCUUACGAGCGACAGAUACUGUACCUAUUAGUAUAUGGAUCCGAUCCUCCGCAGCCACAAGUUGCCGCCACAGACGUUGUACCGUUUGGGCCCUGGGUUGGGCGGCGAAAGGGCGCAUGCUCACCGGUACUACACUUCCUUGCCCUGGCUCACUGACGCGUCAUGGCUUGCGAGUUCACUCGGAAGCCGGCACCGUUGCAGGCGCAGCGACACAACACACAAGUGCCGUGCAGGCCCGGCGCAUUUGCACCGGAUGGAUUGCUCUACUGCGGGCGGAGUACAUGCAUGUUUUGUAUUGCUCUAGUGGUGGGACUCCUUCGCGAUCUGCGCCGCGUACGGGUUGCGCGGGUCGUUGCGGAAGCCUUCCGCUGCACGUCGACGUGUCAGUUGGCCAAGUGCGCUGAAGCUGCGCGGUGCAGCUGGAAGGGCUGGAGAACUCACACUUGACACCGAGGUCCUGCAUCUUGCCCACCAGGAACCACGUCAAAACACUCGCGGUGACGAAGGGCCACAUCGGCUUAGCGACCUGGGGACGGCGUUAGACGACUCUGCUCGCAGGUUCCGAGGACGGACGAACGGGAGUAGGCCACUUGCGGAGACCGAGGAAGCUCAUGGUGAAUGAUGUCUGGUGGUACAAGCCCAGUGAGAGGUCUAUGUCGUUGAAGCAGCGAGGCCGUACGUACGGAGUCAGGAAGUGGUGGUGGUGGUGGAUGUGCGGUGAGUGGAAGAAAACGCGGCAGUUUACGGAACGACGCCGGCGGCAAUUUCUUAACACCUUGUAACAACCAGAUCUGUAAUCUCUUCUUACUCGACUAUUUUGGGGUAAACUGACAGAGUUAUCGCCUUUUGUUACUGGCUCGCAUUACGCGUCUACUUACGAGCACCUUGCUCUGACCUCGCCGACCGUGGUCUCAGUUUCAGACGAGCGACGACCUAGACAUCCUUCACGUAUAUGCUCGGCUUGUGCUUCAGGGGGCUGCAAUACUAGCACUUAUCAGAAACUACCGCUCACUACUCUUGAGGUUACAGCUGUUCUCAUUGUCCAGUGCUGCGCAAAGCUUGCAGCAUACGUGACAUCAUAGGAUACCCCCUCAACAUCCUCGCAUUCAGAACUACUGUCUCUCUUUCCAUCUGCCAUGGCUCAGCAACCAGGAGGAAGUGCCGCCGCACCAGCAGUAUGUCUCUCUCCACAAUCCCGCGUCCUCAUCCCUCACUUCUCCUAGUGGAGACAAUUCCCCUUCUUCGAUGAGGUCCCUGUCAAGGACAUCCACGACCUCGGGAGUGCGCCAGAGGUGUUCCAGGUACGGUGCCCAUCCAUCCCCGCAUACGUCGCGCCCUUGACCAAUGCAUGCAGAAAACCCCAGAAAUAUCGACCAUUGUCGCGUCCUCCGUCGGCCUCGUCGUUGCGGACAUCCAUGGCAGCGUGUACCUCCUCAACCGAGAUUUCGAGAUCGCGAAGAGCUGGAUUGCGCAUAUGGGCGGGCGGGUCACACAUAUGGCGGAGAGGAGGGGGAUCCUGAUCACGCUCGGGGUACGUCCACAGCCAUCUCUGUCUACAAACACGCGCGUUGAGCUUGCGUGCGCAGGAAGAAGACACCGCACGACAUCCCUUCCUGAGGGUCUGGGAUCUGCAAACGUUCGACAAGAAGACCGGAGCCCCCCUGCUUCUCCGCUCAGCGAAGGUCCAGAGCGGCAGCCGCCCCCACCCCGUAAGUCCCAUCCAUCCUGCCCAACGCUACCCACAUAUACCUAUACCCACACGCCCCGCAACAAGGUCUCCACCAUCGCCCUCUCCUCUGCGCUCUCCUACCUCGCCAUCGGCCUCGGCGACGGCACCGUCCUCCUCUACCGGCACCUCGACCAGUCGAUCUACAGCGCCUCCGGCUCGCUCAGCACGCUCCCCAAGCCGCGCGUCAUCCACGAGUCCGCCGCGGAGCCCGUCACGGGGCUCGGCUUCCGCGAGCCGUCGGACGACGCGCCGAACGUGCACCUCUUCAUCGUCACGACGAACCGCGUGCUGUGCUACCAGGCGUCGGGCAAGGGCAGCGGCGGCGCGCCCGCGGUCGUCGACGAGAUCGGGGCCGGGCUCGGGUGCGCGAUCAUGGACUGGCGCGCGCAGGAGAUCGUCGUCGCAAGAGACGAGGCGAUAUACCUCGCCGGCACCGAGAGCCGCGGCGGCUGCUACGCGUACGAAGGUCGCUGCUCCCCGCUCCCUCACAUCCCGUAUGACAGAAAUUCCUGACAUGGUUGGCAGGCUUGAAGGCGCGGAUCCACACGCACCGCAACUACAUCGUCAUCGUGUCGCCGCCGUUCUCGCCGUCCGCGUCGGCGGCGUCGGCGACGGUGCGGAACUUCGUGGCACGGAACGCCGCGCCCGCGAGUGCGGACAUCACGAAGGUGUCCGUGUUCGACCCCGAGAACAAGUUCGUCGCGCAUACGAGCACGUUCACCGAGGGCGUGCGCGAGGUCUUCUCUGCGUGGGGCAAGCUCUAUGUCCUCUCGAACAGCGGCACGGUUUGUGUCUAUAUAUGCUGCCCCCCAAGUCAAAGCUGACGCUUGUCCGUGGGGAACAGCUGAUAUGUCUGGAGGAGAAGCCGACGUCGGCGAAGCUCGACAUGCUGUACCGCAAGGGGCUGUACCUCCUCGCGCUCAACAUCGCGGACACGCAGAAGCUGGACGAGUCGUUCAUUGCGGACAUCCACAAGCAGUACGGCGACCACCUGUACAACAAGGGCGAUUACGAUGGUGCCAUGGCGCAGUACAUCCAGACUAUCCGACAUGUCCAACCCAGCUACGUCAUCCGCAAGGUCAGCUUCCACGUUCAAUCUACCCCAGAUACAUGCUGACGUCGUCGCAGUUCCUCGAUGCGCAGCGGAUACACAACCUCGUAACGUAUCUGCAAGAGCUUCACUCACUUGGCAUGGCCAACUCCGACCACACCACGCUGCUCCUAAACACGUACACGAAGCUGAAGGACGUAACCCGCCUCGAUGGCUUCAUCAAGCGCGAGUCGUUGCGCACAUCCGCCGGCGGCGAGAAGGACGAGCUGCCCUUCGACCUCGACACGGCGAUCCGGGUGUGUCGGCAGGCGGGCUACUUCGAGCACGCCUCGUACCUUGCGAAGAAGUACGAGCGGCACGAGGACUACCUCCGGAUACAGAUUGAGGAUGCAGGUAACUACAAGGACGCACUGAUGUACCUGCGGAAGCUGGGUGCAGAGGCUGUAAGUGAUCUGUCGUGGAUGUGUGAAGGCUCUCUGAUCGACGUUCGUCUAGGCUGAGAGCAAUCUUGCUCGAUACGGCCGUGCGAUGCUCGAAAACCUCCCUGAAGAGACGACCGACCUCCUCAUCGACAUUUGCACCAGCCUCUCGCCUCUGACCGUCGAGGCAGACGAACCAGAGGCGACACCCACAGCGCAGAAGGGCGGCGGCGGCUCGUCCUACCUGUCCUACCUCGCCCUGAACCGAGCACCGGUCGCCAGCGUCCCCUUGCCAUCCGACAACGCCCCCUCGACCAUCCAACCCACCCCCACCAACAAAGCCGAGCCAGCCGCCGCCGCCCGCGGUCCCGCCACUCAGGACGCCGCAUCCCGACAAGGACAAGGCGAUUCCCCGACCGACACGCCGACGACGACCGCCAGCCCGACGAAGGCCCGGCCGGCCCCCGCGCCGGUCAAGCGGCCCUCGCCCCGGCUCUACUUUGCGCACUUCGUCGACCACACGGACCACUUUGUGCGCUUCCUCGAGACCGUCGCGCGCAAGCGCUGGGGCCAGGCCGUCGAGAACGCCGGCGCCCCGCUCCCCGUCGACCCCAACCCCAAUCCCAACCCCAACCCCGACCCCGACUCGAACCCCAACCCGGGCCGGAACAUGGACUCGGCCGCCGCGGAGGAGGAGGAGGGGGAGGAGCGCGACCAGGCGGCGGUGUGGAACACGCUGUUCGAGCUGUACCUGGCAGCGGACAGCGCGAAGGCGCUCGCGCUGCUGCAGAACGCGCGGCGGCUGCCGUACGACCCGACGCACGCGCUCGUGCUGUGCUCGACGCGCGCGUUCACGCCCGGGCUCGUGCUCCUGUGGGAGCGCAUGGGCAUGCACGAGGACGUCGUGCGCUUCUUCAUGGACCGCCACCGCGCGGGCGACGCCGGCGCGAGCGCUGAGGUCGUCCGCCGCCUCGAGCGGUAUUGCGAUGGGGGGAACGGCGGGGAGGACAGGGAGGACAGGGAGGACGGGGAGGACAGGGAGGACGGGGAAGGGGGGGAGGGGCGCGGGCGGGCGCGGCGCCUGUACCCGCUCGUGCUGCGGUUCCUGACGAGCACGCCGGCGCUGCUCGCGGCGCACCGCGAGGACGUCGUGCGCGUGCUGAGGGUCAUCGACGAGGAGAGGAUCAUGCCGCCCGUGAGCGUCGUGCAGGUGCUGAGCAGGAACGGCGUCGCGAGCGUCGGGCUCGUGAAGGAGUGGCUGAUGGCGAGGAUCAAGAGCGCACGGGAGGAGGUCGAGACGGUGCGUCCGCCUUUGCCUCUCUUAUUCCAUUCCUUUGUGUUGUUCGUGGGGGCUGAUCGAUCGUGUGUUGUAGGACCAGCAACUCAUCCUGUCCUACCGAAUGGAGACGCAGGCGAAGCUGCGCCAGGUCGAGGAGCUCACGGACCCCGACAAGCCGCGCGUGUUCCACGUCACGCAGUGCGCCGCCUGCCAGGGCGGCCUCGACCUCCCUGCCGUCCACUUCAUGUGCAACCACAGCUACCACCAGCGGUACGCCCUCCUGCUUUCAUUUCCGUGCUCCUCGUGCUAAUCGGGUUUUACGCAUUGUGCUUGACUUUGGAACAGGUGUCUGGCAGAGAACGAGACCGAGUGCCCGAACUGUGCGCGCGAGCACGGCAUGAUCAGGGAGAUCCGGCGGAACAACGAACGGCUCGCGGACCAGCACGACCUCUUCCUGUCGGAGGUGCGCGAGGGCGGGUUCAGUGCGCUUGCGGCAGGCUUCAGCCGUGGGACGUUGAACGUAACGAGGGUCGAUGAGCUCGCGGCGUAAAUUUACUUAGUGUUGCUCUCAGUUCAUACUUGUUGUAUACCCGGACUCCGUUGCGAGGGCCCAUUCAUCAAUGCAUCAUGGCUGCCACGGUUGCCAUUAAACUUGAGCGACUAAGUUAUGGGGGAGACACCCUGGGCCGAGGGUGCACCAAGCGAGCGAUGAAGCCCCGAAGCUUGAUCAUAGCAUUAAGGAUUCCUACGAGGUGUUCUGAACUAAUAACGCUCAGACACCUCAUGUUACCGUUGGCAAAUUGUCACAAGAGUUUUUUUCACUUUCGCCGACGAAGGUAAUUGUGGUGUGGUAUUAGUACAUGUAUGUAUAAUAUGGCUACAAAUACACAGGACAUGGAGAUGUCGUCGUAUGUAUGUUACUCGUGGCAGUAUAUGCAAACAAGGCCGGCUAUUGCAACGACACGACACAUCGGCAUCAUCACGUACAUAUACAAAAACGGUCCGAUCCGAGGACCCAUCACGGCGGAGAGGCACAAGGCAUGCCAAUACGACAGGGAACAAGCGAUGACGACACGACGACACGGGGGGAAGGGGCGAGUGCGCUGUCAGUGUGUGUUAUGAUGAAACCCAACGGAACGAGCCACGCCCGGCCGAGGCUGGAAACGCUGGCGCCCCCAGCUGGCCGGAGCGCAUCGAGGUCGCCUCAGGGUCCUACCCCCCCCCCCUGCCCGCCUCGAAGGCCCCACAACUCUGGCCCAGCCCCGCAAAACAAGCGCAGGCGCGGGCCCGCCCCAUGUGCCGCGAAGGGCGAGACCCAGCUCCACACCGCAGGGGCCGACUACAAAGCCCCCCCUGCGCGCACAGUAGGCCCCGCGACGGUGCGCCCGCCCCACCCCAGCAAUACUAUAAUCUCGGUGUCCGGUGCGUUUCGUUGCGCAUCCCUCUCCUGUCCUCACAGUCAUUUUUCGCGCUACCAGCAGCAGCAGCAGCGCCCGCCAGCGUCGCCGGCACGCGCACGCGCACGCUCACGCGUACUCACUCGAUGACCUCGAAGCGGCUCCGCUUGGGCUCGCGGCCGUCAUGCGGGUCGUCGAGCGAGCGCUUGCUCGACUCGCCGAGCCCGUGCGCGGCGGCGACGUCGACGCCGUGGAAGGACUCGCCGUUGACGAGGUUCGAGAGGAUGAGCGUGUACUGCUCGUCCGUGAGGCCCAUGCCCGCGAGCGGGUUGAUCUUGCCCUCCUCCUCGUCCCCGGCCCCGAGCGAGAAGCCGAUGGGCAGCGCGCCGAGCUGCUGCUGUUGCUGCUGCUGCUGCUGAUGGAGGGCGCUGGCCUGGAUGGCGAGCGCGUUGUCGAACGACGGGUCCGACAGGGGUGGGACGCCGACGGAGCGGGGCACGCGGGAGAGGGUCUGGAUGACCUUGAGGUGGGUGAGGUGCUUCUCGAGGACCUCCCAGAGGCCGUCCUUGGUGAACGGCUUGGGAAGGUGGUCGUUCAUGCCGGACGAGUAGUACUUCAUGAUCUCCGCUGGCUUCGAGUUGCUCGUCAUGGAGAUGAUGGGCGUCAUGUGGUCGAACUGGCGGAUGAGCGACGUCGCCGACACCCCAUCGAGUUUUGGCAUCACGAUGUCCUGUGAAACACAAUGCAAACGCAGCAAAAAAUAAUAAUUGGGGUCAGCCUUCCCCGAAAACCCAAACGCAAAAAAUAUUUUUUUAACCACAAAGCAACGCACCAUGAGCACCAAAUCGUACUUCUCCAGGUUCAUCUUGUUCACCGCGCCGACGCCAUCGACCGCAACGUCGAUCGUGCACCCAAAGAUUUGCAAGAACUUGCUCGACACCUUCCUGCUCACCGCGUCGUCGUCCACGAGCAGCACCCUCGGGGGCACCGCCCACCCGGGCACGUACGUCGACCUCCUCACGCGCAACGUCUGCGCGCUCCCCGGGCGCCCACUCGGGCCCGCCCCGGCAGCAGACGAGCUCCCAGCCCCAGCCCCAGCCGCAGACGCAGACGGGGCGGGGCCGCCAAUGAACUGGGUGGGGGUGGGGGGCGCGGCGGACGAGCUCUCGCCCUCCUCCUCGGGGUCGCCGCCCAUGCCCUCGGGCGUGGGCAUGACGACCUGGUUGAGCACGUUCGGGUCGAACGCCCAGUUCCCGUUCGCGUCCUCGAGCGACGAGCGCGGCAGCAGGUGGCCCACCGUGAACACCUGCAGGCCCUCGUGGUUCAUCGUGCUCGCGUCCACCGCGAGCCCGUACCGCGCCGCGUCCUCCAUCAGGAACGGGCCCGCGUCAAACGCCGCCGCGUCGAGCGCGCCCGGGGGGGCGGAGGGCCCAGCCGAGGGCGGGGGCGGGGCGACGCCCGAGGGGCUCGUCGAGGACGACGCGGCAGCCUGGGCCUGGGCCUGAGCCUGCGCUUGUGCUUGUGCUUGUGCCUGCGCCUGUGCCUGCUGUUGCUGUUGCUGUUGCUGUUGCUGCUGCUGCGCCUGCUCGCGUUGCUGCUGCUGCUGUUGCUGGGAACGCGCCUUCUGGCUCUGGCCGGACGACGACGACACAGGCUGCCGACCGGCCUGGGCCGGGCCCGCGUUCUGGGCCUGGUCGAGGGCGGGCGUCGGCCGCAUCCGUGUGAGCUCCUCGAUGCGCGCGAGCGCGUCCUGCCUGCUCAUCGGGCGUGCGGGCGCGUCCAUGCCCCCCGGCAUCAGCCCCGCAGCCGCGGCCAUGAUGGUGGACGCGCGCGAGCUGGGCCGCACGGGCGCCCCCCCGCCACUGGGCCCCGCCGCCGCCGCACCGCCCGCAGUGCCGAACGUCAUGCCAGCGACCUCGGCGCGGCGCGAGAUCUCGUUCAUCUGGGCGAGCGACGCGCGGGCGAUGUCACCGUCGGGGUAGGCGCCCAUCAUGCGCUGCGCCUCGGUCGCGGGGAGAAAGGGGUUCGGGUCUGGGGCGUAGGUCCCUGGGGCGGGGUUCGAGAUCUGUUCCGUCUUCAGCUUGCCUAGACCGUCGAAGGGGCGGUGGGUGAGAGCGGGCAGCGGGGAUUUUCGGAACGUGGUUAUCGUGUCACGUAGAUGGACGUUUCGCGGCGAUGAUGAUGAUCGCGUGUGUGUGUGUGCGUGCGUGCGUGUGCAGGAAGUAGUAGUAGGUAGCAGACCAGCCAGGAUUCCAUCCCGUUUCGAGUGCGAGGCAGAUGCGUCCGUGGGAUUUGCAACAAUGCGGAAUGCGGGAGACGGGAGAGAGAGAGCGAGAAAACAUAAAAAAGCAAUAGUACAAAUUAGCUUCCGGCCUGGUGAUUAAUAAACUACGAGGAGACAGUCCCACCAUUCUCCAACUGCAAGAAGUAUUGUAUCAAAUUCUGCAUGAGUCCGUCCUGCUGCGCCAUGUUUCGUUGGAAGUUGACCAUCUCAGACAGCACGUUCUGGUAGUUGGUCUCAAGGGAUCGUAUGUGCUGCGCCAUCUCUUCCUGGUCGCGGGCCAUACGAUCUAACUGCGCCUGGAGCGCCUCAACGGUAGCAGAGGAGGAUGGACUGGGGGAGUUUGCCCCGCGCCCGGUGGAUUUACGCUGAGCGGGCACCUUUCGCUUGAUGUUCUCAAGCGCAUCGCGGCGAUCAGCAUGGAAGUCAGGGUGUCGGAAUGUCCAGCUCUACAACGUGCGAGAGUCCGGGUGAACGCCAUUCUAAGAAGCACGGGGGGAAGGGGACGGAGAACUCACGUGUUCGCCAAACUGGUUAUCGUCCGUGUUCUUGACCUGGGGUUCUUUGUGUUCAUACCGGGUAUCGCGCAGGAGUGAAUGGGAGAAGACGUACUUUGUGGAAGUCAUACUUGUUUAGUUGGCGGACGAAGGAAGCGAAAUUGGAGUGCUUGAACAUGCGGGGGAGGAUGGAUUUCGUGAACUCGUUCAUGUCCUUGACGACAAAGCAGUCGCCGUUAGGACCCCACGAGACGACGUCGGCGAAGGUAGUGUCUUCAAGCAUCCUUUGUGGCAAAUUGAUAUUGAACGUCUAGGCUAGGGCCGAAUAUGAAAAGGGGAGGCACGCACUUGUAGAGCUUUUUGACAAAGUCGGAAGUGGAUGGCAUGCUGUCCUCCGGUUCAUGCUUGACAUGAGACGAGGCGAGGAUGCGGUCUUGGGAGGAGUCGCGGGCCAUUUCGCGGUCUGGGCGAUGUGGGGAGGAGUCUGAGAGGCGACGAGAGGGCGGGGGUAUGUCGUCGCGCGAGGAUGAUGGGCGGUGGCUGGACCAGGGGAGAGUGGAUGAGGCGGAUAGGGAGUGGCCGGAGAGGGGCGAGGCGGUGGCGGAGAGGGAGGGAUGGGUGUAGGUGGGCGGGGGGUAGCGAGAAGCGGCGGGAAGCUGUGAGAUGGGGGGGAGGGUGUUGUUCCUCGGAAAGGAAUUGAGGUGGAGCUGGGAGGGAGGCGGGAGGGUCGAGGAGGGGAAGAGCUGCCUCUGGAGCGGCGGAUACUGGGGCGAGUUGUCCAUCUGGCCUGGACUGUUAUGAGGGGUUGGGGAGGAGGAGCAGAGACGAGGCCGAGUUGAUAUCCCACUCUGUCAAUCCUCCUCCACGGCCCCAUCCCUCCAUUCCC